rnacentral:rRNA from 1 species
CCUACGGGAGGCAGCAGUGGGGAAUAUUGCACAAUGGGCGAAAGCCUGAUGCAGCAACGCCGCGUGAGCGAUGAAGGCCUUCUGGUCGUAAAGCUCUGUCCUCAAGGAAGAUAAUGACGGUACUUGAGAAGGACGCCCCGGCUAACUACGUGCCAGCAGCCGCGGUAAUACGUAGGGGGCUAGCGUUAUCCGGAAUUACUGGGCGUAAAGGGUGCGUAGGUGGUUUCUUAAGUCAGAGGUGAAAGGCUACGGCUCAACCGUAGUAAGCCUUUGAAACUGGGGAACUUGAGUGCAGGAGAGGAGAGUGGAAUUCCUAGUGUAGCGGGGAAAUGCGUAGAUAUUAGGAGGAACACCAGUUGCGAAGGCGGCUCGCUGGACUGUAACUGACACUGAGGCACGAAAGCGUGGGGAGCAAACAGGAUUAGAUACCCCAGUAGUC